ACCUAAUAGAUACCCCGGUAGUCCACGCCCUAAACGAUGCGAACUGGAUGUUGGGUACAUUACGGUACUCAGUGUCGAAAGCUAAACGCGUUAAGUUCGCCGCCUGGGGAGUACGGUCGCAAGACUGAAACUCAAAGGAAUUGACGGGGGCCCGCACAAGCGGUGGAGUAUGUGGUUUAAUUCGAUGCAACGCGAAGAACCUUACCUGGCCUUGACAUCUGUCGAAUCCUGCAGAGAUGCGGGAGUGCCGCAAGGAACGACAAGACAGGUGCUGCAUGGCUGUCGUCAGCUUGUGUCGUGAGAUGUUGGGUUAA
rnacentral:rRNA from 1 species